rnacentral:rRNA from 1 species
AUUGAACGCUGGCGGCAGGCCUAACACAUGCAAGUCGAGCGGCGCGGCGGACGGGUGAGUAAUGCCUAUGUAUCUGCCUGGUCGUGGGGGAUAACGUCCGGAACCGGGCGCUAAAACCGCAUCCUCUCACCUUAGCCUAGGCCGGAUUAGCUAGUUGGUGGGGUAAAGGCAUACCAAGGCGACGAUCAGUAACUGGUCUGAGAGGAUGAUCAGUCACACUGGAACGGAGACACGGUCCAGACUCCUACGGGAGGCAGCAGUGGGGAAUAUUGGACAAUGGGCGAAAGCCUGAUGCAGCCAUGCCGCGUGUGUGAAGAAGGUCUUCGGAUUGUAAAGCACUUUAAGUUGGGAGGCGUUACCAACAGAAUAAGCACCGGCUAACUUCGUGCCAGCAGCCGCGGUAAUUC